rnacentral:rRNA from 1 species
AUAUUAAUGAGCGGAGGAAAAGAAACUAACAAGGAUUCCCUUAGUAGCGGCGAGCGAACAGGGAAGAGCCCAGCACUGAAUCCUGUCGCGAUACGGCGAUUUGGAAAUGUAGUGUUCGGGAGGGUCCAACCAUCCUGGAAUGUCGGGUGCGAGUCCAAGUCCAUCUUGAAUGGGGCCACUGCCCGUAGAGGGUGCCAGGCCCGUAGUGACCGCCUCGUGUUCCGGGAGGAUCUCUCCUUAGAGUCGAGUUGCUUGAGAGUGCAGCUCUAAGAGGGUGGUAAACUCCAUCUAAGGCUAAAUAUGACCACGAGACCGAUAGCGAACAAGUACCGUGAGGGAAAGUUGAAAAGAACUUUGAAGAGAGAGUUCAAUAGUACGUGAAACCGUUCAGGGGUAAACGGGAGAAGUCCUAAAGGUCGAACGGGAAGAUUCAUGCCCAUGCCGUUGCCGGCCACCUUUGUUACCAGACGGUGUCGGUCGCCCGGGACGAUGUUAAAGUCGUGCCCGGUGUCGUUGUCUGACUGCCGCUCGGUAUGCAUGGGUGCCGUACCGGUUGACGGAGGGCUGCACUUCUUCCCCAGUAGGAACGUUGCGACUCGUUGGGUGCCGGUCUAAGGCUCGGGAUGGAAGACUGUUGCCUAAGGUGAGCGGGGUGAGGCACCGCAUAUUUACCUGGGCCAGACUCCCGAUGUUUUUCCCGAUCGGCUGCCCGACGGUGUAUAGCGAAGGAGAUGGUCCGCUCUUAUGAUGAGAGUGCCCGAUCCGCUUCAUUCGGACGUUGCUGGCUUCCUUGGCGUGUAGCGCAAACACGGCCUGGGGCACACGUUCCGUCUGCUCUCGCGGAUGUUCUAACUCGGGCAGGGACCGUUCUCCCGUCUGCGACGCCAAUGCUUUGGAUCGUUUCCCGACCCGUCUUGAAACACGGACCAAGGAGUCUAACAUGUGCGCGUGUCAUUGGGACCGUGCGAAACCUAAAGGCAAAAUGAAAGUGAAGGCCACCACCGAAUGGUGUGGCUGAGGGAGGAUGAUUUGAAUUGAUAAAGGAUCAGCACUCCCGGGGCAUCUCGUUCUCAUUGCGAGAUGAGGUGCACCUAGAGCGUACACGUUGGGACCCGAAAGAUGGUGAACUAUGCCUGGUCAGGAUGAAGUCAGGGGAAACCCUGAUGGAGGUCCGUCACGAUUCUGACGUGCAAAUCGAUCGUUGGAGCUGGGUAUAGGGGCGAAAGACUAAUCGAACCAUCUAGUAGCUGGUUCCCUCCGAAGUUUCCCUCAGGAUAGCUGGCACUCGGAGGAAAGAGACAAAUAGUCUCAUAUGGUAAAGCGAAUGAUUAGAGGCCUUGGGGCCGAAACGACCUCAACCUAUUCUCAAACUUUAAAUGUGUGGGAUCUCCAGCUUGCUCGAUGUUUUGAAGCUGGAGAUGGAUAAAGAGCGGCCAAGUGGGCCAUUUUUGGUAAGCAGAACUGGCGCUGUGGGAUGAACCAAACGCAGAGUUAAGGCGCCUAAAUUGACGUCCAUGGGAUACCAUGAAAGGCGUUGGUUGCUUAAGACAGCAGGACGGUGGCCAUGGAAGUCGGAAUCCGCUAAGGAGUGUGUAACAACUCACCUGCCGAAGCAACUAGCCCUGAAAAUGGAUGGCGCUCGAACGUCAAGCCUAUACUCUGCCGUCAGCGGCAUAGGUGAAUCGAGGGGGCCCCCUUCGGGGGGAACCUCGGUUGCGAAGCCCUGACGAGUAGGAGGGUCGCGGCGGUGUGCGCAGAAGGGUCUGGGCGCGAGCCUGCCUGGAGCCUCCGUCGGUGCAGAUCUUGGUGGUAGUAGCAAAUACUCCAGAGAGGGCCUGGAGGCCUGAUGUGGGGAAGGGUUUCGUGUGAACAGCCGUUGCACACGAGUCAGUCGGUCCUAAGCCCUAGGAGAAAUCUGAAAUGAUGCGAUAGUUUUGAAGGGCUAAUGGCAGCGUAGAAACACCAUCGGGCGAAAGGGAAUCAGGUUCCUAUUCCUGAACCUGGUUGCGGAACCGGUGCAAAAAAGUCGGGUACCUGGUAUCACCUCGGUUGUUAGUCGUUCCGCUUACUACCCGUGGGAUCGCUGACUCUCUCUCUUCGGAGGAGUUUCCUGUGGUCGCCACGCGGGGUGGGGUUACGGCAGGCCUUGGUGGAAGGGUACUCGUCGGGGUAACCCAACAUGUCCCGAAGACGCCGUCGGGAGAUCCGGGCAGAGUUUUCUGUUCUGCAUGAGCGUUCGAGUUCCCUGGAAUCCUCUAGCAGGGAGAUAGGGUUUGGAUCGCGAAGAGCACCGCAGUUGCGGCGGUGUCUGGAUCUUCCCCUCGGACCUUGAAAAUUCGGGCAAGGGACACGUGGAGGUCUCGCACCGGUGCGUACCCAUAACCGCAGCUGGCCCCCAAGGUCAAGAGCCUCUAGACGAUAGAAC